AUGUUGUAUGAAUGGAUCUAUAUUCAAAGGGACUCGAACUGUACACCGAUCACAAACUCAGACAAAAAUUUUUCACAAAGGCACAAAGCACUGCGCAGAAGCUGCACCAAUCCUUGCCGUCCCUGGCAGCAGAAUGGUAGAAGGUGGGAGAGACCAGGAAUCCUUCCAGGCUGUGCUGACUUUAGAAAUGAGGAUUGCACACGUUUGUCUCCUGAACCAAAAGGAGAUAAGCAGCAGAAUUUAUCAGGCGUGAAAGGGACAGCCUCCUGGUGGCCUGCCAAAAACCCAGAAUAAAGGCGAAGUUGUGCUUCAAAGCUCAGUCGCUUGCUGAGUCUGGCUAAAGUCAAGUAUUAAGAUCCACCAUUUUCUGAGCCAUGCUAGAAAAGAAGAAAAAAGUCAGGACGGUUGCUGCUUUCCAAGUCUCCGUUGGCACCAUCACAAAAUCUCAGUCGUAAGGUCACAUGAUUCUCUGCCAAAUGUAGAGUGCAUUCCCAUCAACCAUUCUGCUGAUACUGCGAAGGCAGCUAUUGUCUCGUUUAGACCCAAAGUUCAGCCCACUCUUCAUUGAAUUAGCUGAAAAACGCAUCACCUUUGGGGGCUGGGAGUCAUGGAAACGUCUACCUGGCAAGCUGCCCACUUUUUCUGCCCAUCAACCAGAGAUGGAAUUGUGCUGCCUAAUGCAAUGAUGACUUGGAAUGUGAAGAGUCGUCCAAAGUGAAUCUGAUUCUUGCAACGCCUGUUUCAGUUUGCACAGAAAACUCUGGCUUCUUGUAGUUAAGGGUGUGUGUGUGCUGGGGGGGAAUCCUUCAGACUAAAUGUAGCAAAUAAAGGUCUGAACAUGCCUACUCCGUAACUUUAUUUCACAACACAAAUGGUUCUCAAAGGAAAAGACUGAAGUCUCUGCAAGUUUUCCCUUCCCCUGCCCCCUUUUCCUUUCUGAGUGAAUGCAACAAGCCCAGGACGUUUGUUUUAGUCCCUUGCAUUAAGAUUGAAAAGCUCUUGAGUUUUGUCUUGCUUUUUAUUACUUUCUGAUUUUUAUCUGGCACCAGUUUUGUACUACACGGCCACAAUAUCCUCCAGCAGCAGUGGGGAUGCAUUAUUGCUUCAAUUUCCGUCAAAGUGGUCCCCUGAGGGAUGCCAGUUGUCUCUUCAACCGCGCACACCCCUGCAACUGGGUCCUGGGGUAAUCCUCAGCAGUACCUAGCACAGCUGCUGUGCAAGUUUGCUAAG
ensembl:lncRNA